GACGUAGGAGGCGAGCGUUGUCCGGAAUUAUUGGGCGUAAAGAGCUCGUAGGUGGCUUGUCACGUCGGGUGUGAAAGCUUGGGGCUUAACUCCAGGUCUGCAUUCGAUACGGGCUGGCUAGAGGUAGGUAGGGGAGAACGGAAUUCCUGGUGUAGCGGUGAAAUGCGCAGAUAUCAGGAGGAACACCGGUGGCGAAGGCGGUUCUCUGGGCAUUACCUGACGCUGAGGAGCGAAAGCAUGGGGAGCGAACAGG
rnacentral:rRNA from 1 species